rnacentral:rRNA from 1 species
UACGUAGGGGGCAAGCGUUGUCCGGAUUUACUGGGCGUAAAGAGCGUGUAGGCGGCCAAACAGGUCCGUUGUGAAAACUGGAGGCUUAACCUCCAGACGUCGACAGAAACCGUGUGGCUAGAGUCCGGAAGAGGAGAGUGGAAUUCCUGGUGUAGCGGUGAAAUGCGCAGAUAUCAGGAAGAACACCAAUGGCGAAGGCAGCUCUCUGGGACGGUACUGACGCUGAGACGCGAAAGCGUGGGGAGCGAACAGG